rnacentral:lncRNA from 1 species
CGUGUGACUCAACGAAAAUUGAAAUGAGUUGGAAAAGUCAUCAAAUAGGACACGUGUCAACACCUGGCAGAAACAACUUAUUUUAUCUGGGAUAUUAUAUUCAAAAUUAGGCAUUGGAAAAUUCUAUAAAUACAAGCCCAUUUCAUUCAUUUAAGGGGAACCAAUUCAUAUUACACCUUGAAGCUCUGAAGCUCUGAAACUCCGAAGCUCUCAAGCAUCCAGGUUCCCGAAGAAUCAAGAAAGCUCUCUUCGUUCUUCGUUCUUCGUCCAUCGCUCUUUCAAGAUCAAGCCCCGACGGCCCUUGAAGAAAGCACCAUCGUUCAUCAUCCGUUCAUCCAAGAUCAAGCCCCAACGGCCCUUUGGAUCAACAAUCAUCCACCUUCAAGAUCAAGCCCCAACGGCCCUUGAAGAAAGUGUUCUUCGUUCAUCGUUCUUCCAAGAUCAAGCCCCAACGGCCCUUUGGAUCAACAAACGUCGACAAAUCCACACAUCCAACCGUUCUUCAAGAUUAAGCCCAAAAGCACUUGAAGAUCUGUUCAUCACUGUUUCUUCAAGAUCAAGCCCAAAAGCCCUUGAAGAUCCGCUCAAAUCCACCUUCAAAGAUCAAGCCCACGGCCCUUUGAAGAAACUUCCAACUGUUCAUCCAAGAUUAAGCCUCGACGGCCCUUGGAUCAACGAAACACCCACCAAUCAACACCUUACGGAGAUCGAAUCAGAGGAUCAAAUUAGAGAGAGAUUGUAACCCAAAAUCAUCAAAUACAAAUAUUUAUUUGUGCACGU